rnacentral:misc_RNA from 1 species
AACGGUCUAUACCUGCGGUACCUGCGGAAGGAUCAUUACCGAGUUUACAACUCCCAAACCCAUGUGAACAUACCUAUCGUUGCUUCGGCGGGAUCGCCCCGGGCGCCUUGUGUGCCCCGGAUCCAGGCACCCGCCGGGGGACCUUAACUCUUGUUUUAUUUAGAAUCUUCUGAGUAGUUUUUACAAAUAAAUAAAAACUUUCAACAAUGGAUCUCU